rnacentral:rRNA from 1 species
UACGUAGGGUGCAAGCGUUGUCCGGAAUUACUGGGCGUAAAGCGCACGUAGGCGGCUUUCUAAGUCGGGGGUGAAAUCCUGGAGCUCAACUCCAGAACUGCCUUCGAUACUGGAAAGCUCGAGUCCGGGAGAGGUGAGUGGAACUGCGAGUGUAGAGGUGAAAUUCGUAGAUAUUCGCAAGAACACCAGUGGCGAAGGCGGCUAUCUGGACGGUUUCUGACGCUAAGACGCGAAAGCGUGGGGAGCAAACAGG